UACGAAGGGGGCUAGCGUUGUUCGGAAUUACUGGGCGUAAAGGGCGCGUAGGCGGCGUGUCAAGUCAGGCGUGAAGGCCCCGGGCUCAACCUGGGAACCGCGCUUGAGACUGGCAUGCUCGAGUUCGGGAGAGGAUGGUGGAAUUCCCAGUGUAGAGGUGAAAUUCGUAGAUAUUGGGAAGAACACCGAUGGCGAAGGCAGCCAUCUGGACCGACACUGACGCUGAGGCGCGAAAGCGUGGGGAGCAAACAGG
rnacentral:rRNA from 1 species